rnacentral:rRNA from 1 species
UACGGAGGGUGCAAGCGUUAUCCGGAUUUAUUGGGUUUAAAGGGUGCGUAGGCGGUUAUAUAAGUCAGCGGUGAAAUUUUUCAGCUUAACUGGAAACAUGCCGUUGAUACUGUAUAGCUUGAAUAUGGUUGCUGUGAGUGGAAUGUGUAGUGUAGCGGUGAAAUGCUUAGAUAUUACACAGAAUAUCGAUUGCGAAGGCAACUCACAAAGCCAUUAUUGACGCUGAGGCACGAAAGUGUGGGGAUCAAACAGG